UUUUAGAAUGCCAUGAAGUAUAAAGAUGUACAUAUUGACUUCACUUGGGAAGAGUGGACUCUGCUGGAUACUUCUCAGAAGAAUCUCUACAAAGAUGUGAUGCUGGAGACCUAUGAGAACCUCAAUGAUAUAGGAUACUCUUGGGAAGACAAUAUUAUUGAAGAACAUUGUGCAAGUU